CAUCGCUUGACGGAGCGCGAGUAAUCACUCGCUGAGAUUGGGUCAGUUGUUCGUUUGAAUGAACUUAAACCCAAGUACCGUUGAACCUGAUCAGGUUAAGACCUGCGUAGGAAUCAAGCCAUCUAAAAAC
rnacentral:ncRNA from 2 species